rnacentral:rRNA from 1 species
UACGUAGGGUGCAAGCGUUAAUCGGAAUUACUGGGUGUAAAGGGUGCUCAGGUGGAUUUGUAAGUCAGAGGUGAAAUCCCAAAGCUUAACUUUGGUGCUGCCUUUGAUACUGCAAGUCUAGAGUUUGAGAGAGGGCAAUGGAAUAUCUGGUGUAGCAGUGAAAUGCGUAGAUAUCAGAUAGAACACCAAUGGCGAAGGCAGUUGCCUGGCUCAAAACUGACGCUAAAGCACGAAAGUGUGGGGAGCAAACAGG